CGUAGGGUGCGAGCGUUAAUCGGAAUUACUGGGCGUAAAGUGUGCGCAGGUGGCUGAGCAAGUCGAGUGUGAAAUCCCCGGGCUUAACUUGGGAAUUGCGCUCGAAACUACUUGGCUCGAGUGUGGCAGAGGAAGGUGGAAUUCCAGGUGUAGCGGUGAAAUGCGUAGAGAUCUGGAGGAACACCGAUGGCGAAGGCAGCCUUCUGGGCCAACACUGACGCUCAUGCACGAAAGCGUGGGAGCAAACAGGAUUAGAUACCCUGGUAGUCCACGCCCUAAACGAUGAUGACUAGUUGUUGGGGGAGUUAAAUCCCUUAGUAACGCAGCUAACGCGUGAAGUCAUCCGCCUGGGGAGUACGGUCGCAAGAUUA
rnacentral:rRNA from 1 species